UACGUAGGUGGCAAGCGUUGUCCGGAUUUACUGGGCGUAAAGAGCGCGCAGGCGGUCGUGCAAGUCGCGUGUGAAAGCCCCCGGCUCAACUGGGGAGGGUCACGCGAUACUGCUCGACUUGAAGGCAGGAGAGGGAAGUGGAAUUCCGGGUGUAGUGGUGAAAUGCGUAGAUAUCCGGAGGAACACCAGUGGCGAAAGCGGCCACCUGGACUGCACCUGACGCUGACACGCGAAAGCUAGGGGAGCGAACGGG
rnacentral:rRNA from 1 species